UUAACUGCUCCAUUUGCGGCGCUCUGUCUUUAUUUUCUCUCGCCGGAACUGCUUUUUUCGCCAUAGGGCAGACGUUGCGGCGCCGUCACCAACUAUCGCUUCUAACCCUAACCAACCGGCCGGCGGGCGGUGGUAUUCGUCGGAAGCACGAGACGGCUUGUUUUUGUUCUUCCUCGCGCGGAGGAAGUCGUCUUCAUCCCCGCCGUUGGAGCUGCAAGGGGAUCUCGCAUGUUCUCCGGGUAGAGGCUGCGGGGUGUAUGAGGUGUUUUUUUUUUCUCGUGAUGAGUUUGAUUGGAAGGGUUUCCAGCUGUGGUAAUGUGGUAGUUGAUGCUGCUGCGGUAGCUUUGGCCAAGGUGUCACUUGUUAAUGGUGAAGGCGGUGGUGGGAAUGCAGGUGAAGGGGGUGGUAUGGUUGAUAGCAAAGCAAAUGCUAGUGGAAUAAAUGAGUCGUGCAAAGUCGAUGGUGUCUUCUGCUCUCCUCAUAUCGGUGCCGACAGUGUUGAAGGUAUUUCGUCGCCGAAUGUUAACGAUUUCAUCAUGCAAUCUUGCCAUGACAUCAAUGCCCAACAUGUUGCGCCUAAUUCCCCACUGACGCACAACAUGGUUGCGCCUCCCAAUGUGAACCAUGUAGAGCUUCCGAUGGGGACAACUUUUUGUGCAAUCUGACUCCAGUGUGGUGUGAUACGCAAUCGCAGUCAGUCAUUGGCAAUGAGAUUGUUACACAGGAUUAUAUGGUCUCACAACAGUUAAGGAAUGAGGAGAUAAGGCAGCUAGAGAAGCGGAAUUUUUUUUCAGAGAAAGUUGAUGCUCAUGAGAGGAAGAAGCGGUUGAGGCUCCCCAAAGGUCUAGUUGAUACCUCAAAUGUCACCAGCAAUGCUCAUGUUCCGGAUACAGGAGCUGGAGUCCGUGUGCAGGUUGGCACAUCACGGGAUCCUGCCAGUGGUGUAGCCAGUAAGACUGUUGUUCCAUCUCCGCGUCGGAGUCCACGCAUUGCCAGUGGUCCAGUGGUUGAUCGUGUCUAUCCGAGUAUUAAACUUGGUGGAAAGCGUUGUUCAAAAGCUGGAGGUGAUUUUGUAGGAGGUCCUUCUUUUGAUGGCAUUGGGCUCGACGGGGCUAAUGUUGUUCAUAGGAAGCGCCGGCCUAAGGUUGUUGGGAGUGGACCAAAGAAGAAGGUUGCAAAGUCUGCGGUGUCAAACGCUGGUGCUUGUGAUAGGAUCAAUGUAACUGUUCGCUGUUCUUUGGGAGAGGUUUCUGAGGCGGCUGCUCUGCUUGAGACACGACAUAGAGAUAUUCUUUGUAAGGCUGGUUUUGGUUGUGUAUUUAACUGGGUCUUGAAGGGCAAUGUGUUGCAUCUUCUGAUGUGCCACUUGAUGAAGAAGAUUGACACGGCCACGAUGCGGAUUGACUGUGGCCCUAAUAAAGUUCUUGUAGUCAGCAGAGAAGCCGUGCAUCAGGCUUUUUGGUUCCCCAUGGGUGAUGACACAGCUCCCAGGACAGCUGAUAGCGGCCAUGACGAGUCAAUGGCUAGAUUUAAGGCAGAGUUGGGUUUCAGCAAAGCUUCUGUGGCAGCUUGUAGUCGAUGAGUCAAAGGAUGCGCUUGCUGUAAAGGUUUUCUUUGCUAUCCUUUUUUCAAAGAUGAUAUGCCCAGGUCCUGCUGUCCGUGUAGGCAGGGAGGCGGCAAUGCUAGAUGGUAUUGUUUUUGAAGAUAUGGCAACGAUGGAUUUUUGCCAGUUAGUAGUGGAUGAGUUAAAGCGUGCAGCUAUCAGAUGGCAAGAUCCAAAUAUCAUUCAAGCAGGUCCAGAAGGUUGUGGAGUAGUGCUAGUCCUUAUGUAUCUUGAUUGUUGCCUACUGAAGGCCGUGUCUGUGAUGCAUGUGCAGACUCCGCGUGCAAAUUUCCUGACAGAGAAGGUGCUAAAUUCAAUUUUCUUGAAAGAUAUUGUAAAGAAGGGUGGGAAAAUUUUGGACGGCUAUGUUUUUGGAAAACUUGGGGUGAGUUUUUCAACUUUCAUGUGUUCUUUACAUCUUCUAUGUAUUUUUCGUGCGACUUUAAUGGCUUACAUGUUUUUUUUGUAAUUGUUUUUUUGUAAGUAUUCUUAAGUGUAUAAAUUUUAGCUAACCCCCCCUAUCACGUGGAGCUAACUGUUGUCUUUCAAAUUUAUUUUUGUUGGAAGUUAACAUUUAUUUUUCUCCUUUUGUUUAAAUUAUGCGUGGACGUAACUGCUUUGUUAGAGUUUUUACAGAGAGUUAACUGCGUGAAGCAUUGUUCUCAACUUCUGUAGCUAUCUUUUUUUUUUUGUGUGUUGUGUUUUUGUGGAAUCCUAUUUUGUUUUCAUGUGCUCAGUGGAAAUCCCGUAACCAGAUUGCAUAUUGCCAGCAAGUUCCCCUGGGCAAAGUCGUGAUCGCGCUUUUCCUGAUGCACAUGUCCCUACCUGCGCGCCAAAACAACAUGCACAGGAUGAGGCUGGUUGUAGCCAGAAUGCAGAUGUAGCUUUUAAAGUACAAAAAUCGAGUAAUGCCAUGGAAGAUGAUGGUGUAUUUACGAAGAUUGAUGGCUUAUUACGGAAGGUGGAUGAGUUGGCCGCUGAAGUUCCCACGACGUCUGAUCGGCUGGGCUGCAUUGCUGGCAUUUUCCUUGAAGGUCAUGGACCAAGGGAAGAAUCAAUGAAGGAGGCUACAGAGCGUGAUGUUGCUAGCAUUGGUAGUAUCCGGAGCGUGACAUCACACAUUUGCACCGCUUUCAAUGACUUGAAGAAGAAACAAGAUGCCAUAUGCAAAGGCUUUGAAAAUGAUGCUCGUAUUAUUGUGAGUCAGAUUAGCAAGCAGAAGAAUGACGUGUCUGCCCCUGUACGUGGCGAUGAUUGUACCGGGCAACGGGGUGAGGAGGUUGUUGUGAAUGCGCCUGAUGAUGAUGAAGAUGAGAAGCAAGAGCCCCCUGCUGAAUCUCCUCCGCAUGAUUUUAGUGACGACAAUGCCAUUGAUGACGACUUGCUGGGUGGUGAUUCUGAUGGGGGUUGCAAGGGUGUUGACGACAUCGUUGAUUAUAUGGAGGGAGUUUUUGCACCAGACCAGCCCGUAGCCCAAGGUGAUUGCGACAAAUCUAAUGAGCCAAAGCUUGGUCAGCAAGUUCAUCCGGGUAGUGUUGGCAUUUCUGAAGGGAAGCACGUUGGUUUUGAUUGCCAAGGCAACGUAUCAGUUACGAUUGAAGGUGGUUUAGAAUUUGAAGAUCAUGCUUCAAAUGAAUCUAGCCAGGUUGUCGCUCACAAUGUUGAUCGUGGUUCAGGUUUGCUUGAUGGUAGACAGGCACCUGAAGGUGCUUGUGAGAGUGUGUUUGUCAUGGAUGGCGUUGGUGAUGGUGUCAAUCAUGCAGCAAGUUGUGAAGGAAAACAAGUGUUGAGGGAUACAUCUAUGCCUGAAAGCACUGGAGCCGGAGGUGAUGUAUUUCCUAUUCCGGUCCGCGAAAUGCAUGUUGUUGACGGAGCAUGUGCAUCGAACAAGGAUGCGAAGCCUACUGUUGUUUUUGAAUUUCUGAAGGAUGCUACAGUUGUUGACACCCACCCAGGUGGUGUUGCUCAUGCUACUGUAGCAGGCCCCAAGGACGCAAGUGUUUUAAAUGUCUCAUGUGCUAGACAAAUCAAAUGUUGACCAUGGUGCAUCUGCUCCUGCGAGACUUUCAGGGAAUCCUGUAGAAGUUCCCGAGGGGUUAGCUGCAAAGCUGAAAGAUAUAAUUUCAAAAGCUGCGAUGCGCGGUAAUUAUAGUGCUGAGCCUCAGCCUGAAGUUGAACCCAACGUUGACGAAGUUGGUGCUGAUGGCGCUUCUGAGGAGACAGAUAGUGAUGACUUGGGAGUGUCAAUAAAUGAGAUAGAUUCAUCUCAAACAGUCUCCAGUUUUACGCAAACCCCGGCCACACCUGAAGCGGUGCAACGCAUGAAGGACUUAUACUUUGCUGUUAUGAGGUUAAGGAAGGACAAGAAUAAAAAGUAUGUACCAAACGACUUAUACUUUGCUGUUAUGAGGUUAAGGAAGGACAAGAAUAAAAAGGAUGAGGUGCUGUUUGAGAAUGCGUUUUGCAAAGCAACUGUCAAGCAGUUUGCUGAGUUUUUCAGAGUUGGUGGCAUGCUGAACACUGCGGUUGCUGCUGUAGGAAUUUUUCUUCUUCAUUCGAAAUACCAAAAUUCUUCUAAGAUGGUGGCUCCAUUUCAUAUUUCGCAAUCUAUCUGGAAGGGGUCCUUUGAUAAUAGGCACUUGAUCAGAUUUUUCUCUGCCUAUGCCGAUGAGCCGCUGGAUAAGAAGGAUAUUGUACUCUUUGGUGUCUUUGACCCUCCAGCUACCAGGGAAGGUGCGGGGCACUAUUGUGUAGUUGCGCUAAACAUUAAGCAUCGUCGUUUUGAGCUGCUUGAUUCUUGGCACCUUCCCGGUACUGAGAGUGGCAUAAGGGUCAUAAACAGGAUGGCGAAGAACAUUAAGCAGCUUUGGAGGAAUGGCUCGUCUGAGCGCAAGAAGAAGAAGUUGGAUCCGGCAAACAUUGACCAUUUCCGUUUGCAACAUGCCGUUGUGCCCCAGCAGGAAAACCCUACCGAUUGUGGUUUUUUCAUGAAUGAACUGCUGGAGACAUAUGAUGAUGAGAGUUAUGUGAAGGAAAUAUGCCCUAGAGGCAAUAAUAAAGUUCUUAUUUAUUUUCUUAUAUCAUGAUAAAUGUUUAUUAUUCAUGCUAGAAUUGUAUUAACCGGAAACAUGAUACAUGUGUGAAUACAUAGACAAACAGAGUGUCACUAGUAUGCCUCUACUUGACUAGCUCGUUGAUCAAAGAUGGUUAUGUUUCCUAGCCA